rnacentral:tRNA from 1 species
GCCGGCUUAGCUCAGGGGUAGAGCAACGGUUUUGUAAACCGUGGGUCGUGGGUUCGAAUCCCACAGCCGGCU